rnacentral:lncRNA from 1 species
AAGGAUCUUCAUAAAAAAUUCAAUUAUCUAACAUUCUUUUACAAUUAAUUAUAAUCGAAAUUAUGUAUUUGACGAAAUCUUUAACUUUACGAUUUUAGAAUCCAAAUCAUUCAAAAUCUACCACUAUUUUCACUUACCCAAACAAACCAUAAUGUUAAAGAGUAUCCACGGGAACAUUCUCAAAUAGAAUGUGAAGAAAAGAAAGCAAAAAAUGGGUUGAGAAUUGAGGUUUGUGUCCAUUGUGUUUGGUCGUGUUAAGGGUACGUAAGUGGGUUGGCUUUUGUAGUUUUGCCUCCAAAGUGCACAUGGUGGGUUUGGUAUGGCAGUGGGGGGAUUUUCAAACGAGGUGCGAUUUAGAGUUCACUCAGAUGGGCAGUUUGUUUGGACGCGAAAUAACAUGAAAGUGCAUGUGAUUGACUGAGUAUUAUUCAUUAUUGUUGACAUCGCAGCUGGGCUCUAGCUAGCGGCCCCGAUAUCCAGUCCUCAACCCCCAUCAACACCUCCUCUCUCCACAGCGCCUUGCUUUGCUUCUACGUGUGUACUUCCAACCCCUGCAUUUCAAAUAGUGAAUUAAGAAGAUGAGUUACGACCCCAUACAAAUGUUCAACUCCAAGUACUCGAUUUAGUCCGACUGCAUAUCUAUCGUAUCAGUGUAUGUCACAAAAACCCCUUACGUACCAUACUCUCAUAUGAUCCGAUAGUCACUUUCAAGUAAAUGUUUUUCAGACGAUCUAAAUGAACAUAUAUCCUUCUACUUGGUGAUUACUGGUUUUCACCGAGUCUCUAAAUGAACAUAACUAACAUUGUUAUAUAGACAUGGCAGAGGACACUGACGUACAUAUCCCAGGCUUGGAUAAUAUCAAGUAAAUUAAUGUGGCAUUUAGGAACGUUAAUAAAUGGCAAUAUAGAAAGAAAGAAACUUUAAUUUGUGUUUGAAACUUACAAAACAAAUCCGGAGUGGUUGCUGCUGCCAUGAAUGAUUAGCACCGGAUUUUCCAGGCUGCUUCCGUGCCUGCCUUGAGCCAUUCACGCAGUACGCACAUACAGUUAUGUAAAGUCAACAUCAUAUCAUCGUAGCUGGAGAAGGUUAAUAUCUUGAAUAUGAACUUAUUAAGGAAAGACUAAUGAAUCCAAUCUUAUAAAAAUUAGAAUCAGAUGAGCAUAUUCUUCACAUUAAAUGCCAUAACAAGUCAAGUGGUAUCAUUUGGGUUUUGCAAAAAGAAAGGACACAAUAGGUCACCAAAAUGAUUAGAUUAUUCAAACUUUUUAAAAAAGAAGGAAUUAAUUUGAACGAUGGAUCAUUGGACAAGAAUUGUGGAGAGCAUGUUCAGACCAGAAAAUGGGAGGUGACCAGUGGUUAUUUAAUUUUAUCUCUGUGACAGACAGUUGUGACAAAUAGUAAAAAUAAUAAUGAAGCAACAGGUGGUGGGGAGGAAUACAUGACAUGAUGAUGAUGAUGAUGAUGAUAAAUCUCAGGUCCACACGGUUUAUUAGUUAGUUUAGUUAAACACCCUUUUAAAACAAAAGAAUAUGGCCAAUUAGACAGACGGUCAACAAGAUUUGAGAUUGCAACUUGCAAGAGAUGUCAAACCUAGCCAGCCAGGAGCUCAAUUUUGCAGAGGAUGGAUUGUGUAAGCAUUUCUGGCAAUCAGUUUGAUACCUCAGGGAACAAGAACACACUCAUUGCGUAUCAGAUGGACCUAGGCUAAGCUAAGUUCUAAUCUGCAGAUCAGAUCGUAACAGAGAUGUCGACUUUGGUUUCGGAUUAAGCCGAAAGUGAACAAACAAGAACAAAAUGACAUGACACCCACGAGCAAGCAGCUAGACAAUUGCAAGUCAAUUCCAAAUCAAAUGAAUAAUGACGUGUGUGAAUUCAAUAUCAAACUACACAUGCCAGCAGCUAGACAAUUGCAAGUCGAUAUUUGAGCAUUUAUUUAUUAUUGUUUCCUCACCUGUAGUAUCCGAGUCCCAGAAUUCACUCCAAAUAUAACUUUCUAAAGCUCCCAUCUCUGAUAGUCAUUUAUCUGGAAAAAAAAUACAGAAAAGUUGUCACAACGGUAAAGCAGAAGUGAUUCAGGAAUGCUGUGAUCCGUUUCACAACUGUAAUACCAAAUUUCUUUCCUGUCCAUUGUACGCAUCAUCAAGGUUAACUAAGAUCCAUCAUCAUAUCAGACCCAAAAACAACUGCAAUGUUAAUCACAUCAACUGGAAGUAAUAAUGGAGAUCAAUUUGCUGGCGUCAAUCAAGGUGAGGUUAGAAGAAAAAUAAAACGACUAAUGAUGUAUGUAAGACCCCACACCCGUAACUAAUGGGGAUGCCGUGUCAAUUCCUUUGUGCCAGUUUUCUCUUCCACAGAUUAUCUGAGCCUGAAAAAGCCAAUCAAAUCUGCAAUCAAAUGUUCACGAGUAGAAUGCUGGGGAACGUUUCACCUAAAAUUUAGCACAGCCCUUCAAGCGGUUUAUUUCGUGAAUAGAAUCAGACUAAACGAUCUACAACUUUCACCUACUCAAGUGGGCGAUUACAGUGCUAAGAAAGCCCCAGCCUUUGCAAACCGGCAGCUGCGACGACGGCAGAGCAUGUAAAGGAAGAGGCUGUUAUCCAUUGCCACGUGAGAAACGGUGAAUUCAAGAGGAAACACCGAACGAUAGGUAUUAUUU